CAGGGGGACUCGGAUUUCAGUCCAAGGUGGUGGCUGAUGACCCGGCAGGUAGAUGGGAGUGACGUAGCGGUACCCCGUCCUGUGCCACUGCUCUCCCCAGUGCCCCUAGGGUAGCCGGGAGCUCGUCUGAGGAGAACUACACAGAGGUUUCCAUUAAGCGACCAGUCCCAGCUGUGUUAGAAUCUGAGCUGACGAAGGAGGAGGUGGGAGAUAGGAACAUGAUGUUCACAGGCCAGGCCAACCGCAGGAGGAGUAUAGACCCAGGCACAUGACGGAGGCCAGUGCCCUGGGUUACCACAUCUCUGAUUCAGGCUCCAGGAUCAUCCUCCGCUGCCCCUACUCCUCAUCCCUCUCCUACACCAUCAAGGAUCUAUGCACAAACAGGACAAAGGGGUGGAGCUGGAGGUGGUCAAUGCCACAUUCUUGUACCCACAUCAAGGGAAGGUCCUUGCCAUUGAUGCCUCAAUGGCCUGCUCUAUUAGUCAGUCCAUGUUUUCUGUCUAAGUGCUAGUUUUGACUGGGUUCCUAUCUUCCAUGCCUUCUUUUGAAAAUCUCCUUAUCCCUACCUCUCUUUCCUCCUCUCCUCCUCCAUCUAUCCCGCCCUCUCUCAACUCCACCAGAUGAGGCGACAGUGGAUGGGUCCCACCUGCUCUGGCCUGUCCCCCAUGUCCUCUACCCCCUGGUCCAUGGGCGGUUCAGGGACAUGGGCAUGAGGAUAGGGGUGGAGACGCUUGCCCUGAGUGAGUGUGUGAUCAAUGAGAGGGGACAUGAUGAUUGAGGUCAGCGUUCCGUUUGGAGCCGAGGGAACACACACGUUAAGGUGCACGCGUGUGUGUGCACACACAC
rnacentral:lncRNA from 1 species